ACACGUGGGGGGCGAGCGUUGUCCGGAAUUAUUGGGCGUAAAGAGCGCGUAGGCGGUCUUUCAAGUCAGCUGUGAAAUCCCCCGGCUCAACCGGGGAGUUGCAGUUGAAACUGGGAGGCUUGAGUGCAGAAGAGGAGGGUAGAAUUCCUGGUGUAGCGGUGAAAUGCGUAGAUAUCAGGAGGAAUACCGGUGGCGAAGGCGGCCUUCUGGUCUGCUACUGACGCUGAGGCGCGAAAGCUAGGGGAGCGAACAGGAUUAGAUACCCUGGUAGUCCUAGCCGUAAACGCUGGGUACUAGGUGUAGGGGGUUUAGAUACCUUCUGUGCCGCAGUUAACGCAUUAAGUACCCCGCCUGGGGAGUACGGUCGCAAGGUUGAA
rnacentral:rRNA from 1 species